AAGUCGUAACAAGGUUUCCGUAGGUGAACCUGCGGAAGGAUCAUUAAAGAGAUAGGGUCCUCGUGGCCCGAACCUCCCACCCUUUGUUAACUUACCUUUGUUGCUUUGGCGGGCCGUGGGGCCUUCGGACCCCCCGUCGACUCUGGUGGAUGAGCGCCUGUCAAAUGCCCUUUAAAACUCAGUAAAUUCGUGAAGUCCGAGUAUUCAUAUAAUUAUUAAAACUUUCAACAACGGAUCUCUUGGUUCUG
rnacentral:misc_RNA from 1 species